rfam:Hordeum vulgare subsp. vulgare, WGS project CAJW01000000 data, contig: morex_contig_1998869
AUGGUAUUCCCUCCGUCCGAAAAUUCUUGUCUUAGUUUUGUCAAGAAAUGGAUGUAUCUAAGUACUAAAUUUGACUAGAUACAUUCGUAUCUAAACAAAUAUCAGACAAGACUUUUUGGGACGGAGGGAGUACUUU